CUGGGCAACAGAACAAGACCCUGUCUCAAAUAAAAAAGUGUAUGUAAGAAUAAAAAUUAAUAGAUUAGGCACAGGAUGGGUGUUUAAUUCUCGGCAAUCACCACUAAGUUUUCAUACUGAAGCUUAUUCAUUCCAUGGACAAAACAUUGCGCCAUGUGUGGUGCCUGGGGUGGGCUCCAAAUUCCAGUCCUCUCUUCGCUUGCGAUAGCUGUGAUCCAUUCUUAAGUUUCCUUAUUUGUCCACAGAGCGUACACAGGGUUUUUAUGAAAACUAGAUCAGAUAAUCAGACACAGUUAAAAUAAAACGCGCUCAGUAAAAUUACAUAUUAGUGGAAGAGACAAGCCUUGAAUAAAGCAAUCCCCUUUCGGGGAGUAUGACCCCCUCCCCGAAACCCACUCAGGCGCUGCUGGCUCGCACGCCCACUGAGCUCCGAGCGGAGCCCGAGCCCUUUCCCAGCACACGGGGUUCAUUUCCAGACUUUGAAAGACAUCCCAGAGACAACUCCAGAGGCCAAGGCGGGUCGGCUUCCUGCGUGGGCCCAGCGCCGGGCACUGAAAGGUGAAGGUGCUUCUUCCCGCUCGGAGGAAAGCCUCUGGCGGUUCUCGCUUCGGGGGCUCGGGAUGGACACGCGCGUAGGGCUGGGAAGGUGACGCGCGGACAACGCCGGGGCAAGCGAACUACAACUCCCAGGUAGCUGUGCGCCAAGCGCGCGGCUUAGCGUCGGGCGUGGCCGCGAGGGGCGGCCUAUAUAAGCUCUUGCUCUCGGCUUCAGUGUCCUUUCUCCCCGCCGCAGCGCUGCUGUUGUGUUUUAGCUGCAGACCUCUGCCUGCUUUCCUGCGGGCCGUUCCCUGCUAGUCGCUGCUGCCGGCCCGCACUCGCCGAGUUUUUCUCCCACGGCCUCGAGAUGGUGGUGUACGUGGCACGGAGGGGCCGGGCCUUGCCACCCGGUGGGCCCGAGCUCCGGAAGGCCCCCUCGGCAGUGAGAGGGGCGGGGGCCGCGCGCCCUUCUCUCGCUUCGGCCUGCGCAACGCUGCGCUCUGGGCUGACAGAUGCAGACUCUUAAGAUGACAGAAGGUGAUUCUUCUGGUGAUCGAGGACUCCCGGGGUCAUGACAGUGAUGAAAUGCAGGGGACCUGGUUGCCCCCAAGUUUCCUGGCAGUGUGUGAUACUGAGGAGGUGAGCUUGUUUCUGGAGCUGUGCUUUAAGAUUCAUGUUACAUGUAAAGCUGUCCUCAUUUGUGGCUGGACCUGUGGAGUUGGGACAAUCUCUAUGGGAAGCAGAAGGCAAGACCCCAGCCAUUUUAGGUAGAAACAACAGCACGCUAAUGCCAAAAAUUAUGCAAUGUGCUACUGAACUUCAGAGGCAAUCAAUAGAAGAAGAAUAAAGACUAAUACAAGUAUA